rnacentral:rRNA from 1 species
UACGAAGGGGGCUAGCGUUGUUCGGAAUUACUGGGCGUAAAGCGCACGUAGGCGGACAUUUAAGUCAGGGGUGAAAUCCCGGAGCUCAACUCCGGAACUGCCUUUGAUACUGGGUGUCUUGAGUGUGGAAGAGGUGAGUGGAAUUGCGAGUGUAGAGGUGAAAUUCGUAGAUAUUCGCAAGAACACCAGUGGCGAAGGCGGCUCACUGGCCCGGUACUGACGCUGAGGUGCGAAAGCGUGGGGAGCAAACAGG